rnacentral:lncRNA from 1 species
ACAGUGUCUGUGAGUUAAAAUGGCCGCCAUCCAUUGUUCUCACCAUGUGCUUCUGAUACAGGAAAUGGUGGCCACCCAGUAACUCCACAGUAUGUCCCCAGAUGGUUCUUAAAGGGCCAGCAGCAGCACAACACAAAUCCAUUAUGCCCAAAUCAUGUCUUUAAAGGGCAAUACAUCCCAGGGGCCAUAGUCACAGAGCAAG